rnacentral:rRNA from 1 species
CCCUUAGAUGUCCUGGGCCGCACGCGCGUUACACUGAUGCAUUCAACGAGCUUAUAACCUUGGCCGAGAGGCCUGGGCAAUCUUGCUAACGUGCAUCGUGAUAGGGAUAGAUUAUUGAAAUUAUUAAUCUUGAACGAGGAAUUCCUAGUAAACGCAGAUCAUCAAUCUGCAUUGAUUACGUCCCUGCCCUUUGUACACACCGCCCGUCGCACCUACCGAUUGGGUGGUCCGGUGAAGCCUCGGGAUUGUGGUUCUUGCCGCUUUAUUGUGGCGUGACCGCGAGAACUUGUCUAAACCUUAUCAUCUAGAGGAAGGUGAAGUCGUAACA